UGGGGAAUAUUGCACAAUGGGCGCAAGCCUGAUGCAGCCAUGCCGCGUGUAUGAAGAAGGCCUUCGGGUUGUAAAGUACUUUCAGCGGGGAGGAAGGGAGUAAAGUUAAUACCUUUGCUCAUUGACGUUACCCGCAGAAGAAGCACCGGCUAACUCCGUGCCAGCAGCCGCGGUAAUACGGAGGGUGCAAGCGUUAAUCGGAAUUACUGGGCGUAAAGCGCACGCAGGCGGUUUGUUAAGUCAGAUGUGAAAUCCCCGGGCUCAACCUGGGAACUGCGUCGGAUACUGGCAAGCUUGAGUCUCGUAGAGGGGGGUAGAAUUCCAGGUGUAGCGGUGAAAUGCGUAGAGAUCUGGAGGAAUACCGGUGGCGAAGGCGACUUACUGGGCUCAUUCUGACGCUGAGGAACGAAAGCGUGGGUAGCAAACAGG
rnacentral:rRNA from 1 species